rnacentral:rRNA from 1 species
CCCUUAGAGUUUGAUCCUGGCUCAGGACGAACGCUGGCGGCGUGCCUAAUACAUGCAAGUCGAACGAAACUUUCUUACACCGAAUGUUUGCAUUCACCGUAAGAAGUUGAGUGGCGGACGGGUGAGUAACACGUGGGUAACCUGCCUAAAAGAAGGGGAUAACACUUGGAAACAGGUGCUAAUACCGUAUAUCUCUAAGGAUCGCAUGAUCCUUAGAUGAAAGAUGGUUCUGCUAUCGCUUUUAGAUGGACCCGCGGCGUAUUAACUAGUUGGUGGGGUAACGGCCUACCAAGGUGAUGAUACGUAGCCGAACUGAGAGGUUGAUCGGCCACAUUGGGACUGAGACACGGCCCAAACUCCUACGGGAGGCAGCAGUAGGGAAUCUUCCACAAUGGACGCAAGUCUGAUGGAGCAACGCCGCGUGAGUGAAGAAGGUCUUCGGAUCGUAAAACUCUGUUGUUAAAGAAGAACACGAGUGAGAGUAACUGUCAUCGA